ACCCCAAACCCAUCUCCUCCUCGCUCCAAUUGCUCCCUUCCCUCCCAUCUCCCCUCCCGUGUCUUCCUUCUCUGCGGCCGUUGUGGAGGCACUCGGGUCCGACGAAGCCCCAGAUGGCGGCGGAGGAUUCGAGGUUGAGGAGGCAUCCGCCACUGCUGCUCGUCUCGACGUUGAGGGUCGAUGCCGAUAAGGAUACUUACCGGCGGCAAUCCUUUGCGCACGGAGGAUGUUCUCCCUUCUUUUCCACCAGAUCAGUGCAGCGACGACGGCGAGCAGAAACACAAACGAAGCCCCAAAAGCAAUGCCAAUUUUAGCAGCAACAGAUAGACGAGGACCACAUGAAGCCCUGUGAAGUGGAAGUCCUCCAAGGCUUGCAGGAACUCUUCCAGAUAAAAGAUUCCCAUUGAGAUUCCUACAAGAAAGUUAUAUAAAAG